rnacentral:rRNA from 1 species
UCCGUAGGGGGCGAUCGUUGUUCGGAUUUACUGGGCGUAAAGGGCGCGUAGGCGGCGCGUAAAGUCGGACAUGAAAUCAUUGGGCUUAACCCGAUGGCUGUGCCCGAUACUUGCGUGCUUAGAGUGCGGGAGAGGCAAUCGGAAUUCUCGGUGUAGUGGUGAAAUGCGUAGAUAUCGAGAGGAACUCCGGUGACGAAGGUGGGUUGCUGGACCGACACUGACGCUGAGGCGCGAAAGCUAGGGGAGCAAACGGG